UUAAAUCCAAGAAAGAAAAGAAAUAAUAAAUAAAAGGAAACCUAUUGAUUUUUUCCAGUCAAAUCAAACAGCCUGGCCACCAUUACUUCUAUCUUCUUUUCAUGUCACCAGCCGCAUUUAUUCAGCAGAUAGCCCUUCCCAGAAAGAUUUUUCAUUUACUUGCUAUCUUGACUACUCCAUUUCUUCAUCACCAACAGUCUCAAUCUGGGUUUCUUCUCCAUCUUCCUUUCGGAGCCAGGUCUCUGUGGUUUAGCGCUUCGCCCACUAGGUACGAUUCUUCCCUUCUUUCAAGUGCUUCUUUUACUAGUCGAUGAGCAUGAGUAUUCUCUGAUCUGUGAAUGAACUAAAAAGUAACCUCUAGAAGCCGAGAUCUUUUAUUCUGAAUAUCUCUAAUAAUUGCUCCUAAUACUGAUUUGUCCACUUCUGUCGACUGACUUUUUUUAAUCUACCAUUAUUAUUACUAAGUUUAAACCCAGAGAUAAUACUAACUUGAUGGCUUCUAACCCUGCAUGAGCUUUUGCUGCAAACGGGGAUGAGUCAUUAUAAUGGAGAAUUGUCUUUAAGGCUUUAAACUCACUCAUCUAAUCCCGAACCACUAAACCCGAAGCCGAUCUAUAACAUCUUUUGUCAAAAGUUGCAUCAAACUGUAUCAUGGUACUCAUUAUCGCCCCUAUUUGAUGAUGAACUCUUUCGGAAUUAAAUGUAAACUUUUUUCUCGCACCCCUUCAAGUUCUGCUAUAUAUCUUUCAAUUUUUUGGGACAGAUCUGUAACUGAAAUGGAUUUUCUUUCAUGAACAUAUUGAUUUCGUGAGCUCCAAAUGAACCAUAAAGUGCAGCAAAAAAUCCAGCACUAUUCCUUAGUACCCUUUUCGAAAACCCAGGUUAAACAUUCCGAGAUAUUCUGAUUCAUAUGAGUUGUGACCCAAAAGAGAUUAAGGUUUUGCCAUACUUCAUUGCUUGCAGGACAUUGUCUGAAGGCAUGAUGGUUUUCUUCUUCUUUGGAGCAACAGCAAGGACAUGUGACAUUUGUAAUCACUCACUUAUGUCUAAGGUCGACUAGUGUAGGGAUAUAGUUCCAGGAAAUCCGCCAUAUUGUUAAUGCAAUUUUUUAUGGUAGCUAUAAAUCCCAUAAUUUUCUGUAGAAGUCUUAAAUUUCGUCCUGUAAUAAAUAAAUAUUAGGAUCCGAGCUAGCAUAAUGUAAUAGUUUAUAGGUGCUUCGUACUGAAUAUUCUCCAGAAGGUUCUGCUUUCCACACCUGAAAAUCUUCAUGGUCUGCUUCUGCUAGAGGGAUCUGCAAGAUCUUUUAGGCAACUUUCGUUUGGAAGGUAUUGUUGACUAACUCUGUUUUUUAUGCCUUAUUUUUGCUAUCAAUUAAAUCCAAAACUAAUUAUAAUUCAUCAUUUUCUUCUCUGUUUUGCCAACCAAGUUCUUCAAUCCCUAGGAUCCAGCAAUCAUUCCAUAUUGAGAUCUCAUUCCCCUUCCAACUCUCUAAUACAGCCCAUUUCAAAGAAGACCCUUUACUGCCCCGAUACUCUUCCAGGUAAAUGAAGGUAGAUUUCCCAACUUAGCAUUUAGAAAAUUCGAAUUCGAAAAAUAUUUACUUUAAGAACUCUAGCCAAUAAAGAAUUUGGAAAAUUUAAAAGGUGUCAGCCUUGCUUGGCUAAUAACGCAAUAUUGAAUUGAAUAAAAUUUCAAAAACUUAAACCUCCAUUUUCUUUUAAAAUGCAAAUGUUUUUCCAAGAACACCAGUGAAUACAUUUCUUCCCACUUCUCUUUUCCCACCAAUAAUUGGCAAUAAUAUCUUCCAGUUCAUCACAUAAUACUUUUGGUAAUAAAAAACAAGCCAUUGAAUAUGUCAGUAUAACUUGUAAAACAACCUUUACAAAUACUUCAUUUCCACCUUGAGACAGAUAUCUGAUACCCCAAUUAUCAAUGCGCUAUUUUAUUCAAUCUUUCAAAACUUGAAAGGAUUUUUUUUCUACCAACUAUACUCGACAACCCUAAAUAACGUUCUGGAUCACUUGAGCUAUGAACUCCCAAUUGAUUAAUAACCUCUUGCCUGUCUUCCUCUGAUGUAUUUUUACUAAAAAAGACAGUUGAUUUGUCAAAUUUUACACACUAACCCAAACCUUUUUUGUACUCACGUAGAAUCUCCUUGAUUACGAAAGCUCCUCUUCUUGUUAUCUCCCUAAAUAAGAUGCAAUCAUUUGCAAAUAAUAAAUGAGACAUUUGUGGAUCGCUUCUACUAACCUUGAUACCUUUUAGGAGCCCCUUCCUUGUUGCUAAUCCCAUUAGGCCUGAUAAGCCCUCUCCACUUAUUCAGAAUAAAAACAGACUCAAGGGAUCACCUUGUCGAAGUCCCCUAGUUGGAUAGAAAGCUUCUCCAAUAUUUCCAUUAACCACAACGGGAUAAGACACAAUGACAUGCAUUUCAUAAUAGCAUCAAUCCAUUUUUUAGCAAAUCUUAUUCGGCUCAUUGUAACCCUAACAAAAUCCCAUUCAACUCUAUCAUAAGCCUUACUCAUGUCUAAUUUGACCGCCACAAAACCCUUAUUCCCCAUUAUGUAGAAUUUCAUAGGCUAACAAUUUAUUAUCUGAUAUUAAUCUUCUUGGCACAAAAGGACUCUGUGCUUCAUCAAUGCAUUUAUCAAUAACUCUUCUAAACAUGUUUGCUAUAGCCUUUGCCAGUAUUUAAUAAAUAACAAUGCAUAAGCUAAUAGGUCAGAAUUGUGUCAUAUUAGAAGGGUUGGUGAUUUUUGGGAUAAGCACAAUAUGUGUUGAAUUAAUUGGACUAACCUCCAUAUCUCCGUUUAAAAGGCAUAGACAAAAAGACACAACAUCUUCCCUAAUGAUAUUCCAGCAUCUUUGAUAAAAUAGGGCCGGGAAUUCGUCCUCCCCUGGUGCCUUUGUAGAUCCCAUUUCGAAUAAUGUUCCCUAAUUUCCUCUAUAGUGUACGGCGCUAUAAGUUUUUUAUUAUUCCCAGUAGACACAGUGAUCGAUGCCCGUAAGUAAGUGUUUAUAAAUGGCUGUAUUCUCUGCUGUGAAUAAAUUCUGAAAAUAAGCUCUUGCAAUACCCUCCAUUUCCAGAAGAUUUUCCGUUUUCCCUCUACUUUCAUUUUGUAGCUUAUUAAUCUGAUUUUUCCAUCGCCUCUGAGUUGCUUGGAUAUGAAAAAAAAUUGUAUUCUGAUCUUCAAAUUUCAGCCAAUUCAAUCUAGCUCUUUGUUCCCAGUAAUAUUUAGCCUUUUCAAUCUCAAAAUUUAACUGAAUCUUCGUAAUCAUCUCAGCCAAAUUCUUAUUAUCCCUUUCAGCUUCCACCAGUUCUGAUAAUUUUGCUUUAAGAACUCCUUUCUCCUCUCAUUCGUUUUUGCCCAGCCCACUUUUUCAAAUCCUUCCUUACAAAUUCCAACUUUUGCAACAAAUUCCUUGAUGCCAUUUAUUAUAUUUGUUUGACUUCAUCAACAGAAGAAUCCUCCAAUGUCCACAAAGCUUCAAAUUUAAAACUAUUUCCUUUUCGCCUUUCUUCGACCCUUCUUGUGACAACUAAAAAAUGACAAUUAUUUGAAAAAGAAUACAUCAGAUGCUGAAUUUUUGCCUCGCGAAACAUUGACAUCCAUUUUGCAUUGGCCACUCCCCAAUCUAGUCGUUCUUGUAUGUUUGUCUCUGGUAAAUUUCCUCUCUCCUAAGUAAACCAACUACCAGAAAACCUCACAUCAUUUAAUUUACAUUCCUCUAAUGUUUUUCGAAACAGUUCCAUUCUUCUUUCAUCUCUAGGCAGCCUUUUUUAUUUUUCAAACCUAUACAUAAUUUCAUUAAAGUCUCCACAUACAAACCAAGGGAUAUCUUCCUCAUGAUAAAGAUUUUUUAAAAUAGCCCAUGAGUCUUCUCUAUCUUGAGCAUACGGGUUCUAUAACAACCUGUAAAAUGUCACUUAACAUUGAUUUCAUUACCUUUCACUACCACGUCAAUAUGUAAUCUAGAAAAAUUCUGAAGCGUGAUAUGAGUGUCAUUUCGCCAUGCCAAACAUAAUCCUCCUGUAGUACCCUUUGAUCCAAUGUCGAUACCAUUUGUAAAUCCACAACUCCGUCGAACUUUUUCCAUCUGCAUUCUACAAAGCUUAGUCUCCAUAGAGAAUACUAUUUAGGGGUUAUAGACCUUCAGCGAAUGCCAAAAUCUUCGGAUUGUCCAUAGGUUUCCCAAACCACGAACAUUCCAGCUCAAGAUUUUUAUUGCGCCCGGUCGACCUGCCUCUUGAUAGCCGCCGAUUAUAAAUGAUUUAUUUCCACCAUUCACCUACUUCUUGACAUCACCUUAUUAAUAUCAUCUUUUUCUAGUAAGUCAUCAAUUUCCCCCUAGAUCUCUUCUUCCUUUCCUCUCCUAUUAGUGUUGCAUCCUCCAAAUCAUGGUCCAUCGUAGUAUGGACUUGAUCUACCAGUGUGCUUACCAUCCGAUUGCUAACAAUUGAUGAGCCUUCUUCCAAAUUAAGACCUAGAACUAGAACUAUAAUCUUUCCAAACCUUAUUUCAAUUUUCGCCUUUCACUAACUAUUUCCCAAAAUUCUUUUAUUUUCACCGAUUUCUCUCACAUUCCCCCCUUCCUCACGUAGCCAAAUACUAUUCAUAGCCAAAGCUCUACGAGACUGAGCUCGCAAAGACAAAUCCCAACCCAUGUUAGCAAGUUCCACCCCGAGUGUCAUAUUUGCUUCACAAAAAGAAUCACUAUAGCCCAAUCUUCCACAAUAAAAACAGAAUAAUGAACGCCUUUCACAAUACAAAAUUUGUUUCUUUCUUUUCAACGGGCGUCUUACAUCAAUUUGGACUCUAUUUUUCAUCAAAUUUCUAUUUUCUUUUCCCAAAUUCGAUCCAUCAUAUUCCAGAAAAUCUCCUAAAAAAUUUCCCAAUUGCAUCGCCAAAUUCUCAGAAAAUAAACCAAUAGUGACAUCGUGGAUCUGUACCCAGGAAGGUGUCAAGACCAAAGGCACUUGUAGUGGAUCCUCCCCCAAUUGCAGUUUAUAAAGAACCAGCAGAGGAUUAUUAAAAGUCCAGGGAGAUCCUUUAAUAACCCUUUCCAAAUCCAUAAUGUGAAAAAAUUGAAACAAGUACAUUUUCUCCCCCAGAUCUCGGAUUUGAACUCCUCGGACAGGAUGCCACAGAUUCGUCAAAGUACUCUUCAUUACUGGAAAGUAGAUUAUGUUAGCUGUCAGAAAACAGCCCACGAGUUGUAGAAUCUCCCUGCUCUUUCCCUGUUCAGAUGUUUGUAUUUGAAUAAUUUCAUCUUCUUCUUCAUUAAUCGUCAAUUGAGCUAAUUCAUUUUCCAUCAAUGCGGGUGCAGAUCUCGAUCUUGAAUAUCUUUCUUCAAAGUAGGAGGCCACCGUGCCAGGCGCACCGAUUCCAAACAACAAAAACCAAAUAAACAAAAAAGCCUAGAAUUCUUGCCAGAGACGGCAGACUGAAAUCGUGCAAGGAUAGCAGACUCUUUAAAAUUAAUUUUGAAGUGUAUACAUUAUUUUUAACAUCAAAGUAUAAAGUAUAUGUAAUAACACUUUUUUUACUGUUUAUAAAAAUGUAUGAGGUUUGAAUACUAGGGUAAUAAUAUGAAAAAAAACUAUUUAAUAUAUAUGAUAAAAUAGUUAAAUAUAAAAUAAAAAUAAUUAAUAUUAAAUUAAAUUUGAAAGUAGAUAGAUGUGUAAAGCUCUUGUAAAAAAUAAGACCAUUUCAAAAUAAAUAAAAAAAUUUAUAGCCAAUUGUAACUAAUUGAUGUACUAAAAUAUGCGAA
rnacentral:lncRNA from 1 species